CAUAUAAACUUAAAAAAUACCGUAGCAACAAAUGGGUAUCUCUGGCUACCGGCGGUAGAGAAUGAGACACGGCGCUGAGAACCAACGGCAGGAGUCCCUUCUUUGCCUUCGCCGCCGGAGCUACGGAGACUAUUUACUCGCGGCUGUGGGUAUUUUCAUCGUCCCGCUCUAAGGAAUCUCUCGGACGCGGCUAUCCUCAGCGGUUUUUCGACCUCUUCCGGUCAUUCAUGCUUCUCAAUCUACCUGAAAGUUUGUCUCUAGGCAUGGUUUGUUAUAUACCUUAUAUAUUGUGAAUUUGACGCUGCUCUUGAGUAAUGCUUUACUUUAUAUCUUGUGUCGGCGUAUGUGCAAGAUUGUGGCGGAUAUAUACUAUAUCCAUAAGUAUGGAUGAUUAUAUCACUGUAGAAACAAAAUUUGUUAGAAACUUAGAAUGGCUUCUGGCCCAGGAUUUAAUCUGCAGUACCAUUUGGCCAACACCAUUCUCAUGGCGCAGCCCUAGAGUGAUGUUCGAGAAUUCUAUUGAAUUCUGUUUUCCAGUAUUUAUUAAAUUAUCUUGGUUUAGAUAAGUAAGUUGCAUUGAUCUCUUGAGUUCACAUCUGUUAAGAGCUUUGCGAGUUAGUUCAAUCAUAAUGUGAAGAAGACGAAAUCUGAGUAUAACAGAAGUAUAUAGGUAAAGGUAGUCUGAUUAUUGGAAGAUAAUUAUGCUUAUUUGAUCUCAUUUUGUUUUUAGAAAUAAUUCUGAAUGUCAAAACCUCCUCUGCUGCAGACGCUAUCUCUUGAGUCUCACCCCUCUUCUCUUUUCUCAUCUGCUGCUGUUGAGUUUGAAUCAUGGUGAAUUUCAUCAGGAUUUGAACAAAUUCAAUGUUGGUACUUAUUGAGCCCUUUACUAGAAACUACUUGUCUUUCUAGUGCACCCAUCCUCAUAGUUGCGUCAACCUCAUUCUACUGGAAAACCUUAUUUGUUACAUUUUGAAGUUGAUGAUGUUUUUGGGUAAUGCUUUACUUUUGCUUCAUAUCCAAAUGUGAUGAACUGAUGUUCGCUUUAAGGUACUUUUUUUAUCAUUUCUCAAGGAAAGCAUUAUUAGAUGUGCAAGUAAAGCAUCAGGUUUAGUGCUAAAUAAAAAUACAUCCAACAAUUCUAAAUAAUUCAAGGCACAAUGAUAACAACCUAAGAUUCUAUCAAGUUGUAAAUUUACAAGAGAAUAUAGAAUUGACCACGCAGAGGGAAUACGCCUCUAACAAUUGUCAAGUUUUUUGUAUAUCUGAUUGCUUGAGAGACAAUAUUCAUAGCUGUAGUUCACUAAUGAAUAUAGAGUAACUAAUGAAAAUUGAGGAAACCAACUCUGAGCAACCUAAACUUUGAAAAGCUCUCUUCAAUGAAAAUACUUGCUAAAUGACCCACUAGACAGGUACUUCAGCUGUGAGUAUUUGCAGUGUUCCACUGCAAACUAGCCUCAAAUUGGCUUGGUAUAUGACUGAAAACAACUUUCAGUCAUAGCAGAAAUGUUUGUCAAGAUGAUAACAUACACAUCAUCUUUCUCUCAAUUUCCCUUUUAAGACAAGAAAUAUGGUAAACUAGAUGGACAUUAGAAUUUACUAUGUGUAGUCGACCAUAACAUAUUGUCUUAACCAUAAUUUGAAGACAUUGAGCUAUUAUUCACAUUAGGAAAUGAUUAUGAGAAUUUUCUUGUCUCAUUGACGAGCCAAUUACCUUAACUAAUUUUUUUCAGUAUCUCACUCAAUUCCUAGGUGUCUGUCUAAGACGAAAUGAAUCAAUAAUAAUUAAAUAAGAUGACACAUAGAUUUUGGAUAUGAAAGGGACACCCACAGGUUUCUAAAAUCAGGGAUAUGCAUGUGGUCUUAUGCAUAUUUUCUUAUAACCCACAUCUGAAUAUAUGACUUGUCUAUACCUGCCUUGUCGUGUCAACUUCCAACUGUAUCUACUUAUUUUUCACAUCCAUUUUGUCUUCUAUUUCUACUCAUUACUGCAGAAAAAUCAAUCCCAAAAAUGAAAAAUAAGGGCUUACAUUUGAUAACUGGGGCAAAACAAAAUUAUUGUCAAAUUUGCUCAUUGUGGCAACUAACAAGAGAAAGGUGAUCUAUUUAUAGACAAUGAUUACAGACAGUGGUACAGUAUGAAACAGAACGAAUUAUUAACCUAGCUCUAUAUUCUAAGAUAACAAAUUAAUAUACUAAAAUAAAAAAAUAUUAAUUGAUACAACCAAACAUAAACAGCCUAUUCUAAAAAUAGCACCUUUAACGAACUUGUUUUGAAAUGUUAUCUAUUGAUGUGUUUAUACAUGAUGGUACACUAUUUGUCAUCAAUUGAUUGUUAUGGGAUGGAUAAAGAGUGCUUCUAUGUCUUUACUCAGCCCUGUCUGUGGGCAUGUAAAUCCAUCUGAACCUUCCCCAUAGGAAAGAUAUGCAGCUCUUGUAUAGUUCAUUACCGGUUUUAGAAAUUCCCUUGGUACACGAUUUGUUGAUAACCAUUCCCCAUUCAUUGCCAUCCAUGCAUCCUCAGCAAGCUCACAAAGCUUAGCUAUAGCUUCAUCUUUUGACACACGAUAUUCUUUUAUGUAGCAAUCAAUUGACGUAUUUGGAAGUUCACCUGGCUUGUGUUCAUGCUGCAAAUGCAUAUGAGAUAGUUACUGUCAGUGCCAAAACGAACAUAUUUUUACUUAUAUACAUGUGGAAUCUCCACAAACUUUCUUGCUUCUUCCAAUGUAGCAUAACUAUCAAUCGUAUCAUUCAUGACUACAAUGAGCAUUAAGCCCUUUGCAGCACACAAUCGGGGAAAAGAGUUUCGCGACUCUAAAUUGACAGCAGCAGUCCAAAGAUAGCAUUCUACCACACAGUCUCGUAAGUAGGGGAGUUUCGAACCGAUGCCAAGGCCCUUCCACCAUCUGUAACAGUCAAAGCAAUAAAACAUCUUGAAUAUACAUAUGCAUUAAUUAAUUCAGUUUUAUUCAAAUGAUGGAUUGACUACUUACCUCAUGAGUUCACUAAUUUCUUCUUUGUGCAGAUUUUGCAGCAAAUUAUAAUCCAAUUUUGCAAACUUCAAAAGUAACUCAUUCUUCGAUUCUUCAUUCUCGUAGAUGGAAAUGUAAUAGCGGGCCUCUAAUCUAGAAAGACUCCAAUGCUUAUUCCGGCGCAGGGCUCGUUCCACUCUUUGUUGAAGACAAGAGUCUGCUAUUGGCAUGGCACAUGUUAAAUGGUGGGUUGCAAAGUCCUUGGCUUCAUUUAAAAUGUUUUCUUGGCGACGCCUCAGUUGGACUGCUUCGUACAAGCUCAACAAACCCUUGAUGUCUGUGGCAGCCUGAAAUGCUAAGAAUUGGAAAAUUGAAGUGAAGUUCAAAGAACAUACUGCAAGGAACGUUGUAUCCAUGCAUCCUGAACAAGCGGAAAUGAAGAGAAGUUGUGUAAAGAUCAUAGUCUUCAUCCCCCUUUUGUUCUUGAAGUUGGAAAAUUUGUGCAAUCUGUUCAUUAAUCUCCUUCUCGAAGUGAUAUGCCACUCCAAGGCGCUCGAGCGUGUCAAUCAAUAUCAUCUUAUCCUCUGGUUUAGUUUCUUCAUCCACCACCAUGCUCCUUACCUGUUCCUUUAAUGCUUCAACUUCUUCAGCAUAGUUUAUUUCCUGCAUGACCUCUGUUGCUUUAGCACUACUACAUACACUGCUAUUCGAGCACAUUCAUAUGAUAUGCCGGAAAUCUUGAAAUUUUUGUGUGAAGGAAUGGGAGAAAAGUCGAGCCAGCAAUGAGAACCUGAUGGUCUGUGGUAAACAUUACGCUAUUCCACAUGCUCCUUGUAUCUGCCCUUGCAGGAGGUCGGACUGUCACUUCAGAAGCUCCAUAAUCAGAGUUGAGUGCAGCAGCUGCCAUUGCCGUGAGGGGUCUUGCAGAAAAGCUUGCAUUCUUGUCUUGUUUAUUCUUGAAGAUGUUUUGAACCCUUAAUCUACCACCUGGCGAUGGUGAGACGACACUCCUUCCUUGGAGAAGGAGUCGCUUUUGGACGAGGCAGUAAGAAUGAGAAUGGCUUCAAAGCAGUAUCAAGCAAAGCCAUAUAUGGGUAUGGCUCUCUCCUUGGCCUCUGUGUUUUUAUGUGUAUGCGUGUUUGCUGUUCUCGAAGAUUACCUUUAUAUCAGUAGUGUUGAGAUUUACUUUUUUUCUGCACCUAAAUUAAUGCUUACACACACAUUCAUACACACACACACAUAUAUAUAUAUAAGAUAUGCAUGCAUACACACACACAUACAUACAUACAUACAUACAUACAUACAUACACAUAUGUGGGUAAUAUUAUAUAUAGUCAAAUGGUUCUGCAUUUAUGGAAUCUUUUCAGUUGCUAGCCCCCCUUAGGAUCCUUGCUGAUUGUAAUGUCCGACCAGAUCCAACUUCUGUGGUUCAUUACUACCUCUCUGUGAAUGAGAAAGUUUACUUGACUGUUGAUUCUUC